ACCUCGGGGGUUUCCUGCUUUAUGGCGAAGGGCCAGGGCCCCACACACAUUCUGCCUGACAGCCAGCCAAGCUCUUCAGUCCCCCGCCCUCCACCUGCCAGGGAGGCUUGGGGCGUUAUACCUGCCACCACGGGGUAGGUCUGACACAUAUACUCAUAGAAAUGAGUUAUUUAAAGAAGACGGUCCAGAUUCCACAGUCCAAAAAAAAAAAAAAAAAGAGGUUUGCCCUGCUUCUGAAGGAGUCAGGAUACGAAUGCAGAGGUCUUCCUGUUGGCUCACGUAUCAGACCUUCAACGUCAACAUUAAAUGUUGAAAGAACAUCAGUGUAUCAGCACAGCAAAGAUUCCAAAUGCCAGGCUGGAUUGCCUCCAAUUACCAGGACCUCCAGGCUUCUCCUCCUUUCAAGAACUUUCUGAUCCUGGAUCCAGUCUAAAUGUUGGUUAUAAACUCACCUGACAUCCACAGGGCCCUUCCAAAGUACUGUCAAGGCUGACUGCUGGUGCCUGGAACCUGCACACCCU
rnacentral:antisense_RNA from 1 species